GGUCUUCUCCAGCGACGCCACGAUCUCGGCAUCGUGGACGAAGAAGGCGAGAGGCACCGGCUCAUCCUGGAGAGAAAAUGCAGGAGCCAUAGCGAGGAGCACUACAGGUGUCAAGGUGAGCAGAGCCUCUCACACCCAGCCCAUCCACCCUGUGCAGCACAGCACCUGAAGAAAACACAGUCCUGAGUGAUAUUUAUACCCAAACCUGUGGCCUGAACACACUCAGCUGAUUGGUUUGGAUCCUGCCACGAUGGAAAACCAAAUUUAGCAGCAAGAUUUCUGUAUCACACAGAGCAGCAUCAGAACAGCUCUGCAUUCUGACCAGGACUCAGAUCUUCAGCCUCACAAGCCUCAUCACUCAAAGUCAAGUCAGACACUGGCAGCUUUUUUUGCAAAUCAGACACAGUUAAGCUGUGUUCUCCAAACUGCAAAGCACACUCCAGGUGAGCAAGAAAUUUCAGAAACAAUUUCUUGUAGAUAAGGAAGAGCCACUGAUAGCAAGGUGACUGAACUGCAUGAUCACUUUGAAUUAAAGCUCAUGUCUGACAUAAUUUAAUAACCUUCUGUACUUACAGCUUCAGCAAGAUGACUAGGAAAGAUUAGCUACUAUAAAUAGUCUGAAACAGAAUUAAGUUUU